GUUUGCAGGUUGCUAAAGACAGCGAGCUUUAUUUGGUGAACUUCUUACUGCCUUUGCUCCAGCACUAACUGAUCUGCCUCUUGUCAACAGACAUUUGGAUUCUGGUGACAUUUAUCUGGCACCAUAUUGGGGACAUAACUUCCACUGCCCUUUCUGAGUGGCCGUAUCAACCAGCGUGCUCAGACUAUAUUUGCACCCAGAGGUUGCUGUUAAGUCUGGAUGACACAUAGAACAGUUUGACAGUUUGUGGUACCUCUAGACUUCUUUAUGGAAGAUUGCUGUUUCAGAGAUCUAAGAAACCCUUGGUCUGAGAGGCAGAGGGAACCUCAAAUGCUGCCCAGCAAUAGCCAUGUAACAACUAGACAGCCCCGGACAUUUUUCUGAAAUGAUGAAUGGAAUUACUCAGAAUCUCAAGUCAAGAAGGAGGCAGUGAGCAGAAUUCAGACCAAUUGCCGCCAUGAUGUGCGCGUGGGUCCAGCUGUAAAAGCCACUAGGACACUCACCACGAGAACUCUCCCGCAAGAGGAUGAGUCAGACGUGGAACGGACUGAAGAGAGGAUAGGCCUGUCCGCCCACCUGGAGGCAAUUGCCACGCAAGGCUUUUCGGCCCACAGGAGCGCCCUCUCCCCGAAGGAACGAUGGGACACACCUCCUCCAUCCCCAAGGACUCACCCCUCAGGAAGUCAUGUCUCCAUCCUAACGGUCCUCUUUGUUAUUCACAUCGUCACAGCUCCAGCUUACAAACAUCCACUGUCUGACACCAUGAAUGUCACUGCUAAAGGAACUAACUCAUCUGACUGCUGGAUCUGCCCCACGACCACACCUCCCCAGAGGACCUACGUAUGUCUUUUUUAGGACUCCCCACCUCUUGAAGGACCUGAUGGGGCUGACAGCAAAAUAUGCUGGGUUCUCAUUUACCAUCCGGUGUGGUAAGGAAGGAAGGACUAGGGCAGGAACCAACUGGAAGCCAAACUCUCUGGAACAGACACCCUCCUCCAAAUCAGAGGGAAGGAUAUUUCAGCUUUUAGGCAAAGCUAGCCUCUGUUUUACUGGUAUUAGCAUCCAGGGACAAGAAUUACGAUGGCUGAAUGAAACAUACUGCAAUCAAACUCUAGUUUUCAGUAAUCACAGUUGGGUAACAGACACCAACCAGACUGCCAAUAUCCAAUAUGUAGGGAAUGUCACUGUCUGGUGGAACCUAGUGACUGGAAUAAAGAAAACUAAAACUCACAAUAAAAGCAUAAUAUCAAUAAUAGUUAACAAUACACAAGAGAAAGCCAGCAUAGGGAUUAGACAAUAUUCAGGACUAAUGUUUAAUAUAACUAAUAACUAUACUCAGGUAUACUCCAAUUUCUCCCUGUUAACAGCUGCUGUAUCGAAACCUGAGGUGCCAAGGGAAAAAACCCCAUGGCUUCAGAAAACUCCAACUUCAAAUGAUGAUGCAACAAGGAUUUCAGCCCAUCCCACCUGAAGAUGAGGACUAUCAACAUCCACUGGACAAGGUUGCUGCCUCCUUCUACUCCCCACUCUAUCUCCACCACUGUAAAAACCCCAAGACCCCUAUCUCUGACCGACAGCAAGGAGAUCUGCACCCACAGGCAGCAGGGACAAUGCCCAUGCUCAGGUCGACCCAGUUACAGAAGUUGGACCAACCCUUUACCCCUUAAAAGAUUUUAAGGGUCCAGACUCCUUGAAGGGGUAAUGUUAGAGAAGGCAGAUAGCUAGAUAUAAACAGAGAAAGGGGACAUGGGCCAAAUGACAGGAAGCCAAACAUCUUGUAAACAGCACAGCUACUCAACUGAUACUGUCUGCUCUUCCUUUGAGAGCAUCCUAUCGCUUAAAUAAAUCCUAGCUUUGCUUUCUUGACUUUCCUGUCUCCUCUCUGAAUACUUUCUGCGAUGAGACAAGAACCUACUCUCCGGUAACACUCAUGUAUAGGCAUUAGGCAAAAAGGCAAAGCCACCUCAUUGUCUUGCACUUAAUGAGAUCAUGAAACAUGGAAGAAUGGCAUCAGCCACAAGAACAUAAAUUAGAUUUUGAUUAAGCUUUGUGACAUCUGAAUAGGGAACCCUGAUCACAAAGCCCGCAGAGCAAGACCGAGCAUGAGCAGUAAAAAUGUCCAGGCUUCAAAUGACCACUAUACAACGUUCCAGGGUGGCGCUCAACUGGUAAGGGAAAACUUAAGGGGAAAUAGCUCUCAGGAUGCACGUGUGGUGGCUUCAGGAGCCCAGUGCACAAGAAUGGAUGGAUGAGAUAAUCGCCCCGCCUCAACUUUCUCAUCAAUGAAUAUUCUGCACCUAAUAGAAAAAACUCAUGCCUAUUCAAAGGUUAAGAUGAAAUAAAAAGGGAAAUCAGAAAACCCGCGGGGCGCUCCUCACUUGCGAGGACACCCACAUUCUUCUCGGAGUGCAUACUUUCGCUUCUUAAUAAACUGCUUCUUUGUUUCUCUUUA